rnacentral:rRNA from 1 species
AGAGGGUGCGAGCGUUAAUCGGAAUUACUGGGCGUAAAGCGCGCGUAGGCGGCUUUGCAAGCCGGAUGUGAAAUCCCCGGGCUUAACCUGGGAACUGCAUUCGGGACUGCAUUGCUAGAGUAUGGGAGAGGGAAGUGGAAUUUCAGGUGUAGCGGUGAAAUGCGUAGAUAUCUGAAGGAACAUCAGUGGCGAAAGCGACUUCCUGGACCAAUACUGACGCUCAUGUGCGAAAGCGUGGGGAGCAAACAGGAUUAGAUACCCUGGUAGUCCACGCCAUAAACGAUGAGAACUGGAUGUCGGGAGGGUCUGCCUCUCGGUGUCGUAGCUAACGCGUUAAGUUCUCCGCCUGGGGAGUACGGCCGCAAGGUUGAA